rnacentral:lncRNA from 1 species
CCAUGGGAUGCCUCCUGCUCGGCGGAUUUGGAGAGGCCUUGCUGGUUUUCUCAGAGCGGAAGGGCUCCUAAACCCGGGAAAAGUGGACUCCCAGGCUGUAGUGGAGAACACCGCGUUCUCCAGGUGAUAGAAGAAAGCAAGGAUGGAGAGGCGUCACUGCUCGCUGCGGCAAGGAGAACUCUCUUUCUGGGGUCUCUAGGAUGCUUCAGGGAGUGGACUGUGUCUAGAGGCUCCCCAGGUCCAGCUGACUGUGCCCCGCGCCCAGGCAUGCAGAGAGAGAUGCAGGGUUUCACCUGCAUGGGGAUGGCUCCGCCUUCCUGGAUUGCUGCGCGUGCUCCUUAUUAAACACCCUUCAGCAAGCAAGCUUUCACUGCCGGGUGGUGGAGCACUGAAGACUUUCUGUGGUUGUGUGUUGUGUUGAACACCCUUUUGGGCCCACCAUCAGGUUAAAUCAAUUACCCAAGGGUAAUGAUUACCACUGAUGAAUAAGCACUGACGGAUGAAAUAAACGUAAGUAUGCAAACA